GAUGAACGCUGGCGGUGUGCCUAAUACAUGCAAGUCGAACGGUAAGGCCCCUUCGGGGGUACACGAGUGGCGGACGGCUGAGUAACGCGUAGGAACGUACCCCAAAGUGAGGGAUAAGCCAUCGAAAGAUGGUCUAAUACCGCAUAUGGUCUUCGGAUUAAAGCUUUCGAGCGCUUUGGGAACGGCCUGCGUCUGAUUAGAUAGUUGGUGAGGUAAUGGCUCACCAAGUCGAUGAUCGGUAGCUGGUCUGAGAGGAUGAUCAGCCAGACUGGAACUGAGACACGGUCCAGACUCCUACAGGAGGCAGCAGUAGGGAAUUUUCCACAAUGGGCGAAAGCCUGAUGGAGCGAUGCCGCGUGCAGGAUGAAGGCCUUCGGGUUGUAAACUGCUUUUAUUGGUGACGAUUAUGACGGUAGCCAAUGAAUAAGGAUCGGCUAACUCCGUGCCAGCAGCCGCCGCAG
rnacentral:rRNA from 1 species